rnacentral:ribozyme from 1 species
CGCCCUGAGCUCCCCAAGUGCUGCGAGUACUUUGUUCAACUCACAGGAGCAACAGAGGGCGGCAGUGUCAGCGAUGAACCAAGCCGUGAGUGCCAUGAACAUGCAACCAAACUGGUGGCACGACCCGAUGAAGGUCAUGGGGAUUCAGCACAUGCCAAGCUU